UAAGCUGCUCUGGUCUCCAGUCAUCACCAUGGCGAAUUGCUAUGGAGUCGUCAUUGUCCUAGUUUCUUGCUUUGGCGUCCUCUCCCAGGCUCAGGUGAUUCAAAGCGACCCCCUUUCAGUGGGCCUUGCAGGAACAACCGUCGUAACCUGCACUCUGCAAGGCGUGGAGUUUAUCAGCCCCACGAACCCAUCCUGGUAUCAACAGAAAGCAGAACAGCCUCCCAAGUUGCUCUUCUACAAAUCCAGGGAAAGAGCCUACGGGAUUUCCGACCGUUUCUCUGCAGAGACUUACGGCAACAUUGCAAAGCUGACCAUUUCGCGUGUCGAGGAAGGCGACGAAGGAGCUUAUUACUGUGCCGUGUGGCAUAGCGAUCAGUUACACGCUGUUGCAUUCAGAAGCAGAACUGAAACAUUAAGCCCUACUCACUGCCUAGAGGAACCAAACUCAUGA